rnacentral:rRNA from 1 species
UGCGUAGGCGGAAUGAUAAGUCAGAGGUGGAAUCUCCCGGCUCAACCGGGAAACUGCCUUUGAUACUGUCAUUCUUGAGUACAGUUGAAGUGGGCGGAAUACGUCAUGUAGCGGUGAAAUGCAUAGAUAUGACGUAGAACACCGAUAGCGAAGGCAGCUCACUAAGCUGUAACUGACGCUCAGGCACGAAAGCGUGGGGAGCAAACAGGAUUAGAUACCCUGGUAGUCC